GACGUAGGGCGCGAGCGUUUGUCCGGAUUUAUUGGGCGUAAAGAGCUCGUAGGCGGUCUGUCGCGUCGGAUGUGAAAACUCGGGGCUCAACCCCGAGCCUGCAUUCGAUACGGGCAGACUAGAGUUCGGUAGGGGAGACUGGAAUUCCUGGUGUAGCGGUGAAAUGCGCAGAUAUCAGGAGGAACACCGGUGGCGAAGGCGGGUCUCUGGGCCGAUACUGACGCUGAGGAGCGAAAGCGUGGGGAGCGAACAGG
rnacentral:rRNA from 1 species